GCUUUCACAGCUAUGCUGAAGAAUCCUUAUUUAUCCAGCCCUGCUGCUGGGGGCCUUCUGUGUCCUGCUUCUAUUUUCUUCCUUGUUGUGAGGAGGGUUGGCUUUACGAGUCACACAUAAGUUUUUUCUUCAUGGCUGAAGGUCCAGCAAACAAAACCAGUUUGGAUCCCCAAGGAACUCCACGGGGUUCCACUGCUGAAGAGUUCGAGUCUAAAAUUCCAGGGAAAGGAGAAUGGGCUGCACUUCUAGACAAAAGAUGUUGAGACGUGGUUACCUCAAGAUGGCUGAGUGGACUUGGCUCCAUGGAGUCCGCGGAAACCCAGGCUCCUUCUACCUUGUGGCUCUGCUAUUUGUGGCCUUGGUCAUGUCACGGCUCAAGCUGGCACCCUUCCAGCUCCAGCUCUCAGGCCAGCAUUCCACCAGCAGGAAGGAGGAAAGAAGACUGACAUUUCCAGGAAGUUGCACAUAGCAUCUUUUAAACUUUUUAUUUUGUACUGGGGUAUAGCCGAUUAACAAACAAUAUUGUGACAAUUUCAGGUGAACAGCAAAGGGACCUAGCCAUACAUACACAUGUAUCCAUUCUCUCCCCGACUCCCCUCCCAUCCAGGCCACCAUACAACAUUGAGGAGAGUUCCCUGUGCUAUACAGUAGGUCCUUGUGUACAAAGCAUUUUUGCUUACAUCUUGUUAUCCAUGAUUUAGUCACAUGGACUUGAAUAGUUUCAACAAAAUCUAGCAAAUAAAUAUAGUCUUGAUUCUAGAAGGCCACAUAUUCAGCUAAUAAUGGGAAUCUAUUAUCCUACAAGGAGAAAAUGGAUUUUAGAGGAUGUGGUUGUUUAGUCGCUAAGUCGUGUCUGACUGUUUGCAGCUCCAUAGACUAUAUAGCCUGGCAGGCUCCUCUGUCCAUGGGAUUUUCCAGGCUAGAAUACUGGAGUGGUUUGCCAUUCCCUUCUCCAGGGGAUCUUCCAGACCCAGGGAGCAAACUUGCGUCUCCUGUGUCUCCUGCGUUGGCAGGCAGAUACUUUACCAUUGAGCCACCAGGGAAGCCCUUAGAAGAAAAUAGUCCCUAUCAUACUUGUUUACUAAUCAUGUAACUUUGGGGAAGUGAAUUAACCUCUCUGAUUCUCUGUUUCCUCAUUCA